UAAUUCAGUGAAACUCAAUCUUUCACGUUUUUUUUUUCUGUCUGUUAAAGAGAAGCUCUCUGUGUUUUGGACUUCAGGCUGGAGUGCAGUGGCCUGAUCACAGCUCAGCUCACCGCAGCCUUGACCUCCCAGGCUCAAUCAGUCUUCCCACCUCAGACUCCCAAGUAGCCAGGACUAAAGGCCCAAUUAACUUUUUUAGGAGUUUCAUGGAAAUAGGAUUCCACCAUGUUGCCCAGGCUGGUCUCAAACGCCUGGGCUCAAGUGAUCCUCCUGCUACCUCUACCUCCCAAAGUUCUGGAAUUGCAAGCAUGAGCCACCACACCUGACCUAAAUUGUAAAUUUAUAGUAUGUUUUCUGUUAUCAGAUUAAACUUAUAUUUGCAACCUCUUGAGUUUGUAAAAUGCUUUCAUUUAUAUUUGCCAUUAAAACCAAC
rnacentral:lncRNA from 1 species